rnacentral:rRNA from 1 species
GGGUUUAGAACGUCGUGAGACAGUUCGGUCCCUAUCUGCCGUGGGCGCUGGAGAACUGAGGGGGGCUGCUCCUAGUACGAGAGGACCGGAGUGGACGCAUCACUGGUGUUCGGGUUGUCAUGCCAAUGGCACUGCCCGGUAGCUAAAUGCGGAAGAGAUAAGUGCUGAAAGCAUCUAAGCACGAAACUUGCCCCGAGAUGAGUUCUCCCUGACUCCUUGAGAGUCCUGAAGGAACGUUGAAGACGACGACGUUGAUAGGCCGGGUGUGUAAGCGCAGCGAUGCGUUGAGCUAACCGGUACUAAUGAACCGUGAGGCUUAACCUU